rnacentral:sRNA from 1 species
AACGUCUUAAACAAUGUAAGCCCUACCUUCUCUUACAUUCUUACGGCUCUUUAGCCGAUCCAGGUGAUUAAAAUGUUUCUAUUCAUA